UUCUGUCGUGUUCCUCCGUGACAGCCGC
rnacentral:sRNA from 1 species